rfam:Flaviramulus basaltis strain DSM 18180 genome assembly, contig: Ga0104527_102
UGAUGAAACAAAAACAAAAAAUGAAUUCAAUUUUAAAUAAAACUUGGUGGUGUUGCUUUCGAAACUAAUGUUCGUGAAGUAAAAACCUAGUAUAUUUAAAACUAAAAAUAUCCAAAAGGCUUGUC